UACGGAGGGUGCAAACGUUGCUCGGAAUCAUUGGGCGUAAAGCGCACGUAGGCGGCCGAUUAAGUCGGAUGUGAAAGCCCCUGGGCUCAACCCAGGAAGUGCAUUCGAAACUGACCGGCUUGAAUAUGGAAGAGGGGUCGCGGAAUUCCCCGGUGUAGAGGUGAAAAUUCGUAGAUAUCGGGGAGGAACACCAGUGGCGAAGGCGGCGACCUGGGCCAAUAUUGACGCUGAGGUGCGAAAGCGUGGGGAGCAAACAGG
rnacentral:rRNA from 1 species